rnacentral:rRNA from 1 species
AUUGAACGCUGGCGGCAUGCCUUACACAUGCAAGUCGAACGGUAACGGGUCCUUCGGGAUGCCGACGAGUGGCGAACGGGUGAGUAAUAUAUCGGAACGUGCCCAGUAGUGGGGGAUAACUGCUCGAAAGAGCAGCUAAUACCGCAUACGACCUGAGGGUGAAAGAGGGGGAUCGCAAGACCUCUCGCUAUUGGAGCGGCCGAUAUCAGAUUAGCUAGUUGGUGGGGUAAAGGCCUACCAAGGCAACGAUCUGUAGUUGGUCUGAGAGGACGACCAGCCACACUGGGACUGAGACACGGCCCAGACUCCUACGGGAGGCAGCAGUGGGGAAUUUCGGACAAUGGGCGCAAGCCUGAUCCAGCAAUGCCGCGUGCAGGAAGAAGGCCUUCGGGUUGUAAACUGCUUUUGUCAGGGAAGAAAUCUUCUGGGCUAAUACCCCGGGAGGAUGACGGUACCUGAAGAAUAAGCACCGGCUAACUACGUGCCAGCCGCCGCAGUAA